rnacentral:rRNA from 1 species
CGCCUGUUUAUCAAAAACAUCGCCUCUUGAUAAAACAUAAGAGGUCCAGCCUGCCCGGUGACAAAGUUUAACGGCCGCGGUACCCUAACCGUGCGAAGGUAGCAUAAUCACUUGUUCUUUAAAUAGGGACUAGUAUCAACGGCAUCACGAGGGUUACACUGUCUCCUUUCCUCAAUCAGUGAAACUGAUCUCCCCGUGAAGAAGCGGGGAUAAAAAUAUAAGACGAGAAGACCCCAUGGAGCUUUAAGCUCAACAGCACCUCCCUAUAGAUAUAUCAUAGUAAUCCGUGAGCCCUGUCUGUUAGCUUUAGGUUGGGGUGACCGCGGAGUACAACAAAACCUCCACGACGAAUAGGCCUAAAACCUUUAUCCAAGAGCCACUGCUCUAAGAAUCAUAAAAGUGACGUAAAAUGAUCCGAUCUUCGAUCAACGAACCAAGUUACCCUGGGGAUAACAGCGCAAUCCAUUUAAAGAG